rnacentral:lncRNA from 1 species
AGUGGCGUGGCUACACCGUGGCCUCAAGGAGCCAGUCCUGCCCGGAUGGGGCUCGCCGGAUCGGUUUCGGUUUUCACGCACUCCCAUUUCUGUGGCCGCUGUGCAUUCGCGGUACUGUGCCCUGGCCGCCACCAGGACGUUUAUUCCUGAGCUAGAGGCCGGCGGGGAGUAACGAGGCAGAGAGGUUGAGGAAUCUGGGAAGACUGCAGAAACCUAAGGGCCGGCCUAUCCUUAGUCGUAGAGACAAGGCCCUGCGGAUCGCGCCGCCAGGCCACCCAGAGGAGGGACU